AAGAAAGGUGUAAUUGUUGUGAAUAAUGCUCGAGGAGCAAUCAUGGAUGCUCAAGCAGUCGCAGAUGCAUGUUCUAGCGGUCACAUUGCUGGAUAUGGUGGUGAUGUGUGGUUCCCACAGCCAGCACCAAAGGAUCGGAUCACCCCUGGCGCUACAUGCCUAACCAUGCCAUGACCCCUCACAUCUCUGGGACUACAAUUGAUGCGCAGCUGCGGUAUGCGGAUGGUGUGAGGGACAUGCUGGAUAGGUAUUUCAAGGGCGAGGACUUCCCGGUGCAGAACUACAUCGUCAAGGAAGGCCAGCUCGCCAGUCAGUACCAGUGACCGCGCGAGAUGUUGCUGUGCUGUGUAGGCUUUUCUGGUGAGAAGCUGCGAGGAAGAAACUCCUGUUGCGUACUUGCGUUACUGUAUGAGUAGCUCUGAGAAAUCUGUCAGCGGCCACCUGUAAUAAAAGAAUGCCUUGCUGGUAUCUCACCGUGGA